rnacentral:lncRNA from 1 species
AUGCGAAGCAAACAGGCCCAAGGCCGGGAGCAAGGACGGCGGGCAGCGACGCUGAGCCAUGGCCCAGCCAGAGCUCUCCGGCAGGAAAUCCGGCAGCAGAGGCAACACCCAUGGGUGCUGGCUGGCUGCGGCCACGGAGGGAUCGUCACCACCUUCGCUGUGAUGCAUCCCAGGGGCAGGGAUGCACGCCCGGGGAUGCUGCAGCCGUGGGAUCUUCCCCUAUUUUUGUCACCCUUUUCCCCCCCACUGCCACCGCUGGGCUGUCCCCACACAGCUCAGGGGGGCCAUGAGGGCCCUGCUGGCUGCUCGCCCACCAGUGCCAGGGCUCCCGGGGGCCCUGAGCCUUCUACCCACAGCCGUGGGAGGUGUGAGAGCAAGAGGUGCAAGGAGAGACGGCCAGCAGCAUCUCCCACCACCCACAGCCAAGGGAAAGGGCGUGUGGCUAAUUGCAAGAGUGAAAUGUUUCAGCAAAAAUAUUUCCUUCCCACCAAAAUAGCUCUUUUUUUUUUUUUUUCCCUUCUCCCCAGUGUGGUUAUUUUUUUCUGGUUUCAACAAGCAAACUGGAAACCAAAAGCCUUGCCGCCCACACUGGGGACCGCAGCGGCUCGCCUGCCCCGCGCGUGCCUCGGCUCCCUCGGCGCCGGCAGCCUCGCUGCACCCAAACCGCAGCCCCAGCAGCUUUUGGUGAUGCUUCAUGGUGCAGGUGAGACCAGCCCACCACAGCUCCCACAGCCGAAGAGCACAAACAAGUUACUCGAGCAUGUUGGAAAGCUGCAGCCACCACCACCCCUCCUGCCCGGGGCUGUUUUUCUUCAUUCGAAUCCCACGGUUAGAAGGGCACGGUCCGUGCUGGGAUUUUGUAAGCGCCUAGGGCUGGGGACGGGGCUGGCCGCAGCCCACGACACGAUCACCAGCGGGGACUCCCUCUGCAAAUGGUGCAAAACCACGGGAGGCUGGAGCAGGGCUGGUGGGUUCAGUCCCACCUCGCAGCGUCACGAGUGCAAGGGGCGUAAAGCGCCACUGCCGCCUCCUGCCACUGUCCCCAGCCAUUUCGCCACAGCCAUGAACCCGACUGCGGGAAGGAAACCUCCCUGUGAAGGCACGCAUAGCCCUGGGGACCCAGCACGCUGGUCUGGUGCUGGGGCAGGAGCCAGCGAGCCCCUGGGCCAUCUGUCACCGAAACGAAGUCCCCAAACACCCACUGCCAGCAGAGCUUUGACCAGGAAAAGCGGAGAAUUUCAAGCUGUGCAAAUGGUUUCGCUGUCCUCUCUGCUUUCACGCGGAAGGGACUCGGGAAGGGCAGAUCCCACGGCGAUGGGGGGUUUGGGACAGGCUGUCUGGCUGCGCCCCAGCCUGUCCCCUUCGGGGGCUGGCACUGGAGGUGCUCGGUGCACUUGGAGGGCGUCUGCACCGCGAGUCCUGGGGCCGUGCGUCGGCGCUGGGCUGAGCCGCGGUGCCCUUGGGUAUCAGACACGGCUCCGUGCUCCAGACGGCGGCCAGGGAGGCAAACGCCAGCCCUCGUUGGCGUGCCUGUGA